rnacentral:snRNA from 1 species
AUACUUACCUGGCAGGGGAGACACCAUGAUCAUGAAGGUGAUUUUCUUAGGGUGAGGCUCAUCCAUUGCACUCUGGGUGUGCUGACCCCUGUGAUUUCCCCAAAUGCGGGAAACUCAAUUUCGUAACUUGUGAUAAUGGGAUUAAAAUAAUUUUU